AAUAUUUUUUGUUACAAAAUUAUGCAAAUCUAAAACAUUUUUAAAGUUUACAUGCACAUAUCCUUUAUCAUAAUUCAUUAACCCUUCAAGUACCUCUAAUGAAAUACAGGAAACCAAGGCAAUGCUGUCUAUUUUGAUAUGCUCCCCUGUAUGAAGUGUAUCACCAUGUGACAACUGAUAAAGAUUGUCUCUUCUCUAACCCAUAAUCAUUUAAAUCAUGUAGUGCAGAACAAUUAUACCUUUCCUAUGAAAUUAUGAAGAUGGAAUUACCAGUUUUAGGCCUUUUUACUUUUAUUAUUUGUUUAACAUCCCAAUCAGCCAUGGGGGAAGAAGCAACAGACUUGUUAACAAUAGAACCAGUUGUUUUAGCUAAACAAGUUGGUCAAUCAGCAGAGUUUGUUUGUUCAAAUAACUCAGCAAUCAAUUCAGAUAUAGUAUGGAUGUAUAUCAAUGAAACCCUCAUUCCACAAGUCAGAGCUAAUGUUAACAUUGUAACAGAAAAUACUUUACACAUAGAGUCAGCUGUGGUAACAGAUCAAGGAGAAUACAUCUGUACAACUAAAAUGAGAGAGUUUAAUGCCACUGCUGAGCUCAAGGUUUACACCAUGCCAACAUACUUUACUGAAGGAAUGAUUGUAAUAGGAAUUAAUGCAGCUUUACUUGUUAUAUUUUUCAUGUGUUUUGCAUAUCAUACAGUGAAAAAUCGUCGAAAUAAUUCUAAAAUUAAAAGAAAUGCUUUAUAGAUGGAUGUUUUCAUCAGUUAACUAUUUACUGGCACCAUGCAAUAGAGUCUUCCUUCCUGAUACCUUUCUCAAGAGAAAUGGCAUUAACUUGUACUAAAUGACAAUUCUUCACUAUCAAAAAUUACUUUCUGAAAAAAGGAUAUAGCCAUACAUGUGGAAAAAACGUUUUAAAAAAUCACUGUGAUGUAAGCUUGUAUACCACAUUUGUAGUCAAGAACAUACCCAUCAGUAUAAUCCUUAUUGUAUACUGUACUUAUAUAUAACAAAAUUAUCAAAUAACUCUUAGUCUUGUGAUCAAUUGGAAAUUAUUUCCCUACCACUUUAAAUUUGUAAUUUCAAGAGUAAAAUGAUUCUACUUUUAUAUUUUUUCAUCAUUUGUUCAUCUUUUAUUCAUGACUUCUACACAUUCUAAAAUCUUCCACUGAGUCAAAUAUUCCAUACAUUUUUCAUCAAAUAUGAUUAAAGCUACCUCUUGCUUGUGUAUGAGGUGUAGACAUGGAAAGAUUUUGCCAUGGAAUGUGAAAGAAUAGUAAUUGAAAUUUUCUACCUGCAUAUCUUCUUACAGAAGUUCGAAAUGAUCUAUGAUACCAGAAUGAGUCUUUUUAAGAAGCUUUGUAAUACAACAUAUUGUAUUUAUAUAUCCUGUAAUCAUGGUAAUGUUCAAUCUUUAUUUUACAUGCUUCCACUUUAAUAUAUGUAAACAGGAAAGAUAAUGUCCUUGUACAUUCUCAAUAAGUUAGGUCAUAUAAGCUUUAAUUGUUUAUUUAUAUAUAAUUUGUUUAUGCACAAACUGGUAAUAUUUUUGACUUCAGGACUGGUUCAACAAUUCUAAAAUACUUUCUGAGGAUUUUGCAGCAUAUAUUUUUUUAAAUCAUUAUAAAAAUUUAUUCUUCUCUUGAUAUUUUUGUAAUAUACAGUUGAAAAAAACCUGCAUAAUUUUUAUUGAUUAAACUUACAUUUUUUAUUAAACAAAAUCAAUAUUGUUUAUAGAUUUUCAUCUUUAUGCAUGUCUUUUUAUCAUGGUCUAAAUGUUAAUUUAGAAGGAAAACUUGUCAUUUUAAACAUUAUUGUUUUCUGUUCCAAUCUAGAUUACAUUUUACACAAAUAUUAAACAGAAAUAAAGAUAUAUAUAUUUAAAUAAG